rnacentral:rRNA from 13 species
CCCUGCGGCUACACCCCCCUGAAAGAGCCUGAUCUUGUCUGAUCUCAGAAGCCAUGCGGGGCCGACCCUGGUUAGUACCUGGAUGGGAGACCACCUGGGAAUACAAGGUGUUGUAGUCU